rnacentral:antisense_RNA from 18 species
UUAUAUGGCGGCUGUAUGUGGGGCACUUCGUGUGCGCCGGGGUUUUGCUCUUGCUGACCGGUCUGUCAACCCAUGUACAGCUGCCACCC